AACGAACGCUGGCGGCAUGCCUAACACAUGCAAGUCGAACGAGACCUUCGGGUCUAGUGGCGCACGGGUGCGUAACGCGUGGGAACCUGCCCUUAGGUUCGGAAUAACUCCCCGAAAGGGGUGCUAAUACCGGAUAAUGUCUUCGGACCAAAGAUUUAUCGCCUUUGGAUGGGCCCGCGUUGGAUUAGCUAGUUGGUAGGGUAAAAGCCUACCAAGGCGACGAUCCAUAGCUGGUCCGAGAGGAUGAUCAGCCACACUGGAACUGAGAGACGGCCCAGACGACUAGGGGAGGAAGCAGGAGGGAAAAGGACGCAAUGAGAGAGAGCGGGAGGGAGAAAAGGCGUGUGAGUGAUGAAGGUCUUCGGAGCGUAAAGAUAUGUGAUUAGAGAAGAAAAAAGGGGCAAGGAAAUAUGCAAGCAUGGAGGGGGACUAAGCUGAGAGGCAAGGCCAGAGAAGUG
rnacentral:rRNA from 1 species